GUUUAAAUUUUAUUAUUUAUUAUUUUUAAAAAUUUUUUAGUAAAAGUAAUUUUUUUUUAUUAUUAAUUAAGAAAAUAUUUUUUUUUAUUAUAGUUCAAAGUAUUGUGAAAGAAGAUUAAAAUCUAUUUAAAAGAAAAAUUUAAAUUUUGUACCUUGUGCAUCAGGGUUAAUUAAAAUUUAUUAAUUAUUUAUAAUUCUCGAAUUUAAAAGAGUUAAUUAAUUAUAUAUUUUAUUGUUUUAUAAAUAUUUAAAAUAUUUAAUUUGAAAUUAAAAGUUAUUCGUUUUUAAAUAUAUCUAGUUUUUGAAUAAAUAAAUUUAAUUUAAUUGUUAAUAAUUAAAUUUUUAAUUUUUUAAAUUUUUAUUUAUUAAUAAGCAAUUUUUUUAGGGAUAAGCUUAAAAAAAAAGUAUUAUAAUUUAAUAAGAAAUAAAUAAAUUAUAGGAUUAAAAUUUUCUAUAAAUAAAAAAAUGUUAUAAUUAAUUAUUUAAAGAAUUUUAUUUUUAUUAAAUUUAGGUUUUUUAUUCAAAUAUAAAAUUUAAUUUAAAAAUUUUAGAAAUAAUGAUUAAAUUAGUAAAUAAUUAUUGUAUAAAUAAUUUUAUAUAUAUAGGUUAAUUUAAGGAACUCGGCAAAUAUAUUUUUCACCUGUUUAUUAAAAACAUGUCCUUUUGAUUAUAAUUUAAGGUCUAAUCUGCCCACUGAUUAAAAUUAAAUGGCCGCGGUAUAUUGACCGUGCUAAGGUAGCAUAAUCAUUAGUUUCUUAAUUAGAAGCUGGAAUGAACGAUUGGAUGAGAAAAUAACUGUCUCAAAUUAAUUUUUAUUGAAUUUUAUUUUUAAGUUAAAAAGCUUAAAUAAUAUUAAAAGACGAGAAGACCCUAUAGAGUUUAAUUUAUUUAAAAAGUAAAAAUUUAUUGGUUUAAUAUUUAUUAUUUUUUUAAUAAAUUUUAUUGGGGUGAUAGAAAAAUUUAAUAAACUUUUUUUAUAUAAUUACAUUUAUAAAUGAAAAAAUGAUCCAAAUUUUUUGAUUAUAAGAUAAAAUUACCUUAGGGAUAACAGCGUAAUUUUUUUUAAGAGUUCAAAUCUAAAAAAAAGAUUGCGACCUCGAUGUUGGAUUAAAGUAAAUUCUUGGUGCAGUAGCUAAAGGAUUAAGUCUGUUCGACUUUUAAAACUUUACAUGAUCUGAGUUUAGACCGGUGUGAGCCAGGUCGGUUUCUAUCUUUAAUAAAAAAUAAUAUUUUAGUACGAAAGGACCAAAUAUA
rnacentral:rRNA from 1 species